rnacentral:rRNA from 1 species
GACGAACGCUGGCGGCGUGCUUAACACAUGCAAGUCGAACGGAAAGGCCCUGCUUUUGUGGGGUGCUCGAGUGGCGAACGGGUGAGUAACACGUGAGUAACCUGCCCUUGACUUUGGGAUAACUUCAGGAAACUGGGGCUAAUACCGGAUAGGAGCUCCUGCUGCAUGGUGGGGGUUGGAAAGUUUCGGCGGUUGGGGAUGGACUCGCGGCUUAUCAGCUUGUUGGUGGGGUAGUGGCUUACCAAGGCUUUGACGGGUAGCCGGCCUGAGAGGGUGACCGGCCACAUUGGGACUGAGAUACGGCCCAGACUCCUACGGGAGGCAGCAGUGGGGAAUAGUGCACAACGGGCGGCAGCCUGAUGCAGCAACGCCGCGUGCGGGAUGACGGCCUUCGGGUUGUAAACCGCUUUCGCCUGUGACGAAGCGUGAGUGACGGUAAUGGGUAAAGAAGCACCGGCUAACUACGUG